rnacentral:ncRNA from 1 species
AGUGACCGGCCGGACACCUGUGUGCCCGGCCCGCAAGUGGAGGCUCCGAACUCCCACCUGAUCGAUCCCCGGAUCGGCAGGUCACCGGUCAGGCUGCGCCCCGCGGUGAUCGCGGCGGUGCUCCGGUCUGUCAAGGAGCCCCGCCUGUGUGCCGUCCGGGGCGUUUUUG